UUCUUUUCAUCCUGUUCCACAGGAAUGCUAGAACAAUAAUAUGUUCUUCCUGCCUUUUCCAAGGCCAGAUGGGAAGAUUUUGUUGAUUAACGACUGCAUCAUGUGGGGCGGGAUUUGGUGGUAAACACCGAUCCAGCCCCGGUCACCCAUGAAGCCAGCCGGCUCCGAUCACACAACAUCAAGCUGGCUCCGUGGAUGAAGGAGGGCGGAACUGGCAUACCACCACCACUCUGGCAACACAGGAGGCUUCCCAUGUUGCCAUUCCUUCAAUGGAGGAAGAUCUGCUGGAGGAGCGCAGCAAAGUGGGGCAUGUAGCAUUGACUUCCCAAUAUCCGGCAGCAAACCGAAGUGCCAUCAAGAGCCACUGCCUAAGCCAUGAAACCAGAAGACAUUUACUUCUUGGGAGGAGAGCAAUGACCAAUCUCAGUAAAACAGUGAAGAGUAGAGACAUCACACUGGCAACGAAGGUCUGCAUAGUUAAAGCAAUGGUAUUCUCUGUAGUAACCUAUGGAUGUGAGAGCUGAGCGAAGGAAGAUAUACACAUUUGGACUGUGGUGUUUCAGGAAAAUUCUGAGAGUGCCUUGGACCGCACAAAGCUCAAACCAGUCCAUCCACCAGGAAAUAAUGCCCGACUGCUCACUGGAGGGAAGGACAUUACAGGCAAAGAUGAAGUACUUUGGUCACAUAAUGAAAAAACAGAAAAACUUGGAGAAGAGUAUGAUGCUGGGGGAAAUGGAAGGAAAAAGCAAGAGAGGCCGACCAAGGGCAAGAUGGAUGGAUGGUAUUCUUGAAGUGACUGGCUUGACCUUGAAGAAGCUGGGGGUGGCCACGGCCAACAGGAAGCUCUGGCGUGGGUUGGUCCAUGAGGUCAAGAAGAGUCAAAAGCAACUGAACAACAAGCAUUAUCACAUGGCCUUUCUGGCUAAUGACAGACUAAGCUUUGCUUGGUUGCCUCAUUUCCUGUUUUAUAACUAUAAAGCAUUACCUAAAAACAAAGGCAUGCAAACUGGGGAUGGCUAGAGCAGUCUCCAGACAGUUCAUCCUUUUUGUGAAUGUGGAUUUAUCAGACUCCAUUUUAGAUCUUUAUCUUGGAGCUUGUCUUCCUGCAUCUAUUGAUUGACUAGCAUAGCACAUAAAAGUGGACCACAUUUCUUCAGACAUUUCUUAUGUCAGUGUCAUCAUUCAGUUCCUUGACUCUUUGUGCUACUUUUGAUAGGUCAAUCGCUUAUUUACUCUGCUUGCUGACAUUAUGCCUGCCCAGUUCACAAAUGCAAACUGACUGAUGUAUUUCUCCUUGUAGUCCCUCUCCAAUUAAGUAUGAUAUCAUGUGAAGUAGAAAUACCAACUCUUGCUUGAUAAAUACAUUGUGCUCUGAUUUCUGCAACUUUAAGUCAUAUACUCAUAUAUUUGAGGAACUGUCAUUAUCGCAAAAGCAUUUCUAUAUAAUGGUGUCUCUUUUUUUUCUUUAUUGUAAAUUUAGCCAAUAUACAUAUUGAUUCAGAACAAAAACAUUAUUAAAAUAGUUUGCAUAAAC